rnacentral:rRNA from 1 species
UACAGAGGUCUCAAGCGUUGUUCGGAUUCAUUGGGCGUAAAGGGUGCGUAGGUGGCGCUGUAAGUCAGGUGUGAAAUUUCGGAGCUUAACUCCGAAACUGCAUUUGAUACUGCCUGACUUGAGUACUGGAGAGGAGAUUGGAAUUACGGUGUAGCAGUGAAAUGCGUAGAUAUCGUAAGGAAGACCAGUGGCGAAGGCGGAUCUCUGGACAGUUACUGACACUGAGGCACGAAGGCCAGGGGAGCAAACGGG